rnacentral:rRNA from 1 species
AACAAACGCUGGCGGCGUGUCUUAAGCAUGCAAGUUGAGCGGCAAGGAGGAGAGAUCCUCCCUAGAGCGGCGGACUGGUGAGUAACGCGUGGGUAAUCUAUCUUAGGCAUGGGGAUAGUCACUAGAAAUAGUGGGUAAUACCGAAUAAGUUCCAUAAGGGGAGGACUUAUGGAAGAAAGGUGCUACGGCACUGGCCUUAGGUGAGCUCGCGUCCCAUUAGCUAGUUGGUGAGGUAAAGGCCCACCAAGGCGAUGAUGGGUAGCCGGCCUGAGAGGGUGUACGGCCACACUGGGACUGAGAUACGGCCCAGACUCCUACGGGAGGCAGCAGCUAAGAAUAUUCCGCAAUGGACGGAAGUCUGACGGAGCGACGCCGCGUGGAUGAAGAAGGCCGAAAGGUUGUAAAGUUCUUUUGCUAGGGGAGAAUAAGUGUGGGAGGGAAUGCCUGCACGAUGACAAGGACUAGCGAAUAAGUCCCGGCCAACUACGUGCCAGCAGCCGAC